UACGUAGGGUGCAAGCGUUGUCCGGAAUUAUUGGGCGUAAAGAGCUCGUAGGCGGUCUGUCGCGUCGGCUGUGAAAAACUCGGGGCUCAACCCCGAGCCUGCAGUCGAUACGGGCAGACUAGAGUGCUGUAGGGGAGACUGGAAUUCCUGGUGUAGCGGUGAAAUGCGCAGAUAUCAGGAGGAACACCGGUGGCGAAGGCGGGUCUCUGGGCCGAUACUGACGCUGAGGAGCGAAAGCGUGGGGAGCGAACAGG
rnacentral:rRNA from 1 species